rnacentral:rRNA from 1 species
UACAGAGGGGGCAAGCGUUGUUCGGAAUUACUGGGCGUAAAGGGCGCGUAGGCGGCCUGUUAAGUCGAACGUGAAAUCCCCGGGCUCAACCCGGGAACUGCGUCCGAUACUGGCAGGCUUGAAUUCGGGAGAGGGAUGUGGAAUUCCAGGUGUAGCGGUGAAAUGCGCAGAUAUCGGGAGGAACACCGGUGGCGAAGGCGGUUCUCUGGGCCUUACCUGACGCUGAGGAGCGAAAGCGUGGGUAGCAAACGGG